AUGAGCACAAAUCCUGAAGGUCCAGAAACAUUCACACAUUAUGAACCACACUGCUGUGUGCAUUUACACCAGGUUAGUGCAGAACAUCUGGCUCCUCCACCAACAGCAGCUCAACCAGGCUUUAACGGGGAAAUGCUGACAUCUGCUGGCACAAAUAUUCACCCUCACUCACCCUCACUCACCCAUACUCACCCAUACUCACCCAUACUCACCCUCACUUACCUUCCCUCACCCUCACUCACCCAUACUCACCCAUACUCACCCUCACUCACCUUCUCUCACCUUCACUCACCUUCUCUCACCCUCACUCACUCUCACUCACCUUUACUCACCUUCAUUCACCUUUACUCACCUUCACUCACCCUCACUCACCCUGACUCACCUUCUCUCACCUUCUCUCACCUUCACUCACCUUCACUCACCUUCACUCACCUUCUCUCACCCUCACUCACCCUCACUUACCUUCUCUCACCUUCACUCACCUUCACUCACCUUCUCUCAUCCUCACUCAUCCUCACUCACCUUCACUCACCCUCAUUCACCUUUACUCACCUUCUCUCUCCCUCACUCACCCUCACUCACCUUCACUCACCUUCACUCACCUUUACUCACCUUUACUCACCUUCUCUCAUUCUCACUCACCUUCUCUCAUCCUCACUCAUCCUCACUCAUCCUCACUCAUCCCUCACUCACUCUCACUCACCUUCUCUCACCUUUACUCACCCUCACUCACCUUCUCUCACCUUCACUCACCUUCUCUCACCCUCACUCACUCUCACUCACCUUUACUCACCUUCAUUCACCCUCUCUCACCUUCACUUACCUUCACUUACCUUCACUCACCUUCUCUCACCUUCACUCACCCUCACUCACCCUGACUCACCUUCUCUCACCUUCACUCACCUUCACUCACCUUCUCUCAUCCUCACUCAUCCUCACUCAUCCUCACUCAUCCUCACUCACUCUCACUCACCUUCUCUCACCUUUACUCACCCUCACUCACCUUCAUUCACCCUCACUCACCUACUCUCACCCUCACUCACCCUCACUCACCUUCUCUCACCUUCACUCACCUUCACUCACCUUCACUCACCUUCUCUCAUCCUCACUCAUCCUCACUCAUCCUCACUCAUCCUCACUCACUCUCACUCACCUUCUCUCACCUUUACUCACCCUCACUCACCUUCAUUCACCCUCACUCACCUUCUCUCAUCCUCACUCACUCUCACUCACCUUCUCUCACCUUUACUCACCCUCACUCACCUUCUCUCACCCUCACUCACCUUCUCUCACCCUCACUCACCCUCACUCACCUUCUCUCACCCUCACUCACCCUCACUCACCUUCUCCGUGGGUUGCUAA
rnacentral:lncRNA from 1 species